rnacentral:rRNA from 1 species
CUACGGGGGGCAGCAGUGGGGAAUAUUGGACAAUGGGCGCAAGCCUGAUCCAGCAAUACCGCGUGUGUGAAGAAGGCCUGCGGGUUGUAAAGCACUUUCAAUUGUGAAGAAAAGCGAGGGCUUAAUACGCUCUUGUCUUGACGUUAACUUUAGAAGAAGCACCGGCUAACUCUGUGCCAGCAGCCGCGGUAAUACAGAGGGUGCGAGCGUUAAUCGGAAUUACUGGGCGUAAAGCGUACGUAGGCGGUUUAGUAAGUCAGAUGUGAAAGCCCUGGGCUCAACCUGGGAACUGCAUUUGAAACUGCUAGACUAGAGUGUGGUAGAGGGAAGUGGAAUUCCGGGUGUAGCGGUGAAAUGCGUAGAUAUCCGGAGGAACACCAGUGGCGAAGGCGACUUCCUGGACCAACACUGACGCUGAGGUACGAAAGCGUGGGUAGCAAACAGGAUUAGAUACCCUGGUAGUC